rnacentral:miRNA from 1 species
GUUAAGGAGGCUGUCAAGUCCGUUCUGCUCAUGCGCGUGUUUUGUUUACAUUUUUUCUUUCAAAAAAUAGAUAAUUUAUUUAAAAUUCCGAUCUGUGGGUCCACAGAUCGGAAUUUUAAAAUUAUCUAUUAAUUGUUUGAAACAAAAAAUGUAAACAAAACAAACGCAUGAGCAGAACGGACUUGACAGCCUCUUUAAU